rnacentral:rRNA from 1 species
UACGGAGGGUGCAAGCGUUAAUCGGAAUUACUGGGCGUAAAGCGCACGCAGGCGGUUGGAUAAGUUAGAUGUGAAAGCCCCGGGCUCAACCUGGGAAUUGCAUUUAAAACUGUCCAGCUAGAGUCUUGUAGAGGGGGGUAGAAUUCCAGGUGUAGCGGUGAAAUGCGUAGAGAUCUGGAGGAAUACCGGUGGCGAAGGCGGCCCCCUGGACAAAGACUGACGCUCAGGUGCGAAAGCGUGGGGAGCAAACAGGG